rnacentral:lncRNA from 1 species
AUGAAUCAGGCAUGGAAUUAAGCAAGAUAAUAGCCUUAUACGUUUCAGAUACCUCUUCAUCACAGUUAACGAUGUCUUGAACUAAUUUGUUAAAGACAUCCAGAUUAUCAUCAAGAUCCUUUGAAGGAUCCAUUUUAAAGCUGAAAAAUCGUUCAAGCAAGUACAAUUUAUUAGGAGUUGACUUAAGCAAAUAUAAGUCCUCCAACUUUUCCCAAAGUUGUUUUGUAGAAUCCAAUUUUCCUACUUUUCUCAAAACAGUAUCAGAUAGGUGUAAAAUAAUUGAAGUGUAUGCAAGUUCAUCAUACUCUUCUUUUUGUACUUCUGUUAAAUUUCCAGGAAAUUUGCCAUCUAUGGCCUUUGAAACUUUUUGUUGGACCAAAAUACCCUUCAUCUUUUGUUGCCAAAUUGAAAAAAUCCCCUUUCCCAUUAAAAAUUCCAACUUCAAAGCGUAAAGACAUUUUUAAAAAAAAUAGAACAACCAAAAGCACAGAUAGGUCACACAAAGUUAUCCUACGGCCGCAAUAUACACCGUUCUAGAUUUCCAGGGUUUCGUAAGAUUCACGAUCUUAGAUCAAGGGAAUGUUCGAAUCCCCUUUCCCAUUAAAAAUUCCAACUUCAAAGCGUAAAGACAUUUUUAAAAAAAAUAGAACAACCAAAAGCACAGAUAGGUCACACAAAGUUAUCCUACGGCCGCAAUAUACACCGUUCUAGAUUUCCAGGGUUUCGUAAGAUUCACGAUCUUAGAUCAAGGGAAUGUUCGAACGGGUCAAGUCCAGGUGUUCUAACAGGAAAAUCAAUGCAACACGAAGGUAUGUAAACAAAAGUUUGAAUUUCCACGCAACAAGCCUCACACAGUGACUAUAUGACAGGUAAAGCACAAAAUCAACUACCAACUUGCAAUCAAAACUCAACACUUCACAAACAGAGCAAAUAAUUCCUAAAUUUUCUAGCACAAGCAAUGGUUGCCAAGCAAUGACAACCCCCAAUCCUAACGAUCACCCCACACGAUGAUCUGCUAAUGCUGAAAUUUAAAAAAUAAGUUAAGCCAAUAUACCAGAGCGGACUAUCUGAGUCCGUAAAUUAUGAGAGUUGCGAAUUUAUCACUUUAGGACCACCACUAUUUGUCCUAAAGUCUCUGGAAACUGCAGCAACCAAAAAAUCACAAUCGAGUCCCGAACGUCCGAAGAACAACGCUGUCCAGAUUCUUCUGCGUACCCUGAAACAGAAAACUUCCAACACGAAAAAUGUUAGAAAUAAUACAAGGAACAAACUGUCUGAAGGAAACUUCCCCAGAAACUGCCGCACGCGCACACACGCGCCACGCCGGAGAAGCCACGCGCCGCCGCCGCCGGCGUUCGUCUCCCACACGCGCCGGUCACACAACACCGCCUCCACCUGCAGAUCACGAAUCCGGCCUCCUUUUCACCAAACUCCUUCUGGAUUGGUCAGAAAACACCAAAACAGUGGCUGAUUUUUAACAGUUUUCUGGACAGUUUUUCGAUCUGAUUUCUGCCUCGUUUCUGCCGA